rnacentral:rRNA from 1 species
GACAGAGGUGCCGAGCGUUAGGCGGAAUCACUGGGCUUAAAGCGUGUGUAGGCGGAUCGUUAAGUGCCUUGUGAAAUCCCACGGCUUAACCGUGGAACUGCUUGGCAUACUGGCGGUCUUGAGCAACCUAGGGGCAAGCGGGAACAAAUGGUGGAGCGGUGAAAUGCGUAGAUAUCAUUUGGAACGCCAAUGGUGAAAACAGCUUGCUGGGGGGUUUGCUGACGCUGAGACACGAAAGCCAGGGGGAGCAAACGGGAUUAAGAAACC